UGUAACACCCCAGGUGUUUAUCGUCUGCUCGACCACUAGUGCAGACGUUAACACGUGAUAGCUGUGAAUGUAAAGGUCACUAAUUUUUAAUCAACCUCGUUUAUCACGAUUUUGAUAUCGUGUCUGCCUCCGUCUGUCUAAAUUUUUCCAAAUCUAUUUCUUUUAAAAUUCAGCCUUUGGUAAUCUUCGGAACAUCGAAUCCAGUAUCGUUUAGGUUGAGCCAUCGACGUCUUGCCUAAACUAUAAUUUUUGAAAUCAAAUGUAGCUUCUUAAACUUCAUUUGAAAUUCUUUCACGCUUGCGUUGCACGUCUCUCUGUAGCCUGACAUUGUGACGCGUGUGGCGGGCGCAACCCUGUGUGUGACAACGCACAGCUUCUCACUUACGUGAAAGACACGUAUCGUCUCCACGGAGGUCCCCGUGUGCACCUUAUCUCCCUAUCGCUAUCCCUUUCGUUUAUCCGAAUCGGCCACCGAUUCAACUCUUCACUACGUGCCGCGCCUUCUGUCACUCCGCUGUCGCAUGUCCGACGUGCUAGCGAGUGUAAAAUUGGGAAUUGAAUGAUUUCAUAAAUCUAGACUGCGCGUGCUAUUUGAGGAAAACACACGCAAAGUUAAUAACCGAGAUUGGUUUCAUCCUGCACGCUAUUUAUGGUAGAUAAAUCUAAGUAUUUGGUUGCGGGCGAAUUUAUUUGAUCUCAGAUAAAUCAAUGGAACAAUAUCAUCUUGUCCCUGAUAAAUUAAGCGUAUCUCGACGACUAAAGUUUUGGUGCAAAAUAAUUCAGUCCUCGCUCAUCCACCGAGAAAUUGAGUCCGAGGAUUUAUAAUUGAGAUUUGAUUCUCUAGUAAAUUAUCUGCUCUAAAUUAAAUCAAGUGCAGUCUGUACUAGUUUGACUGGUAUCUUUUGUUUCGUCCGGUUUACAUCUCGCGUAGAUUUAAUCUGAGAACUAAAUUAUCUGUGUAGUCUUUUGUGUAAAAAAUGAGAAGGAAAAUAGGAAAAAUCUUUUCUCAAUUAUCUCCUACCGCCCUCAACAUCUUUGCCUUAUCCUAGGUGUGCCCAGAAAUCUCUAGAAUUCUUCCACGUACUCCUCUCUCCAAUCCAAUCAAUUCACAUACGUAUCUCAGUUUUCAUUUGCUUCACUACUGUAUUCCCUUCAACAUGUGCGAUCCAGCCACCAGAAAAUUCUCCCCAUGCUCGCUUGAGCAGCAGCGCUCGACUCCCUGCUCGUCGGCCACCAGGACGACAUCUCCACGCGCCGAGUUCCUCCCAUGGCUAUCCCAAACCCUAGCCGAGAUCCCCUCCUGUGUCGGCCACUAUCUCCUUCACCAGGCGCUCUCCUCCACCUACAGCUCGCCCCGUCUCCUCCUCUCCCCAUGGCGGCUCCCCUCGGAUCCCUCCCUCCAUGGCUACCGUCGCCCCCAAGCCCGCGGUCUUGUCGAGCUCGCCCAACCCUUCCCCAUCUUCUCUCCACCUCUCUGAUGAUCAGCGCCCUUACCCCAUGGUGCCAUGGAUGCCGCCCUCCCCUAACGGCAUGCUCCCAGCGCCUCCUCCCCACGCUCGUCUUGGCAUGGAGGUCAACCAUGGGAUGCAUCACACCAACCUCACCGGCCAUACCCCCUGCUCCUCCCCACCAUCCACAGCCCCAACGUCAUCGCCGUGUUUAGUCAUGAGAGAAAGGUUCUAAGGUUUGGUUGGAAAAGAAAGCUAUAGCACGUCGACCACCAGGUGUUUGAUGAAUUAGAUGAAUCAACGCUUGUUGCGGUUAUUGUGAAGUUUCGGUUCAUAUGAGCUUUUGGGGGUACGCUAGAUGAUUAUGCGAGCUGAAGGACAUGGAUCAGAGCGAACCAUAAGAUGAUAUUGGUGGAUUAAUCUUGUGGAUGCAUCAAGCCAACACCAGAAUGGAAGAUGUUCACCAAGUGGUCGUCAAUUAACAACACUAACGUAGUGUUUAUCCCAG